GCUUCGCUGUUUUGCUUGCGAGAAAUUCAAGCAAAUCAUCAUCAUCAAGUAAAUCCCGAACAGUAAUCCCGUUCGAUAAGGUAAUUCCAACUUUCCAUAUUGGUAAUUUUACAGAUUUAUUCAAUUUUUAAGAUUUUUUCCACUUGGGCUUUUAGAAUGACAGGCCCAAGUCUUUUGGACCAGAUGGAGGAGCUGGAAAUAGCAAUAAACAAUCUUCAAAAUUUAUUCAAAUGUGAAAUUUAUGUUGAAGACCUUCAAGAUCCUGUUACAACUUGGUGCGGUCACAUGUUUUCUACAAUGCGCAUCAAGAGAGUUCACACAAUUAGAACUCGUAGCUACAACGUCGUGUCAGGA